rnacentral:rRNA from 1 species
UGAGCAAUUUGCCCUUCUCUUUGGAAUAAGCGUUGGAAACGACGUCUAAUGCCGAAUACGACCUCCUUUCGCAUGAUCGGAGGUGGAAAGCUCCGGCGGAGAAGGAUGAGCUCGCGGCCUAUCAGCUAGUUGGUGUGGGUAAUGGCCCACCAAGGCGACGGACGGGUAGCCGGCCUGAGAGGGUGACCGGCCACACUGGGACUGAGACACGGCCCAGUACUUUCCCGUAACGGGGAGGCCAGCCGUAAGGG